rnacentral:rRNA from 1 species
AAGAUGGNGACCGGCGCACGGGUGAGUAACACGUAUCCAACCUGCCGAUAACUCCGGAAUAGCCUUUCGAAAGAAAGAUUAAUACCGGAUGGCAUACGAAUAUCGCAUGAUAUUUUUAUUUAAAGAAUUUCGGUUAUCGAUGGGGAUGCGUUCCAUUAGUUUGUUGGCGGGGUAACGGCCCACCAAGACUACGAUGGAUAGGGGUUCUGAGAGGAAGGUCCCCCACAUUGGAACUGAGACACGGUCCAAACUCCUACGGGAGGCAGCAUG